UUGGUGUGACAACCCUAGUAGCGGCUGCCAUGAUUUGGCGUUUGUCUUGUCACGUAUAUCGUCUGCGAAAUUACGAAAAUGCCUCGCGAUAAUUUUAAAUGGACCUCUCUGCUCUCGUUCUUCAUAUUCUUUACUCCAAUCUUCGCAGAAUGGAACACAAGGGAUUACGUUCGGAGGGAACAUUCUCUCACAAAACCGUAUCAGGGGAGUGGAAUGUCGGUGCCUUACUGGGACUUCUUAGGUAGCACAAUAGUAACGUCAAAUUAUGUUCGGUUGACUCCUGAUUUGCAGUCGAAGUCUGGUGCUCUUUGGAACUCUGUGCCAUGUUACACGCGCAACUGGGAGUUGCAAGUGCAGUUUAAGGUGCACGGCAAAGGCAAGGAGCUAUUCGGCGAUGGGUUUGCGCUGUGGUACGUGCGCGACCGCAUGCAGACGGGGCCCGUGUUCGGGAGCAAGGACUACUUCCACGGCUUGGCCAUCAUAAUGGACACAUACAGCAACCAUAAUGGGGCGCAUAACCACCACCACCCUUAUAUAUCGGCGAUGAUAAACAACGGGUCGUUGCACUAUGACCACGACCGCGACGGCACUCACACGCAGCUCGCCGGCUGCGAGGGCAAGUUCCGCAACUUCAACCAUGACACGCAUCUCUCCAUCGUCUACAAGGAUGAUACGCUUAUAGUGUCAACAGACCUGGACGGCAAGAACGCGUGGAAGGAAUGCCUGCGAGUGGAGAAGGUGUUGCUGCCGACGGGGUAUUUCUUUGGGGCGUCGGCCACCACCGGCGACCUCAGCGACAACCACGACAUCAUCGCCAUCAAGAUGUUCGAGCUUGAUCUGCUCGACACGCAAGUGAAAGACGAAGACAGAUCGAACAUAAUCCCAUCAGCUGCGUCCUUCGAGGCCCCCAGAGAAAGAAUUGAGGACGAAAAGCCAGCCAUGUCUGGAGUCAAGACCUUCCUAUGGAUGAUGUGUGUCGCGAUCAUAAUCAUCGUCCUCGUCGUUCUUGGCAUCAUGUGGUACCAGAAGAAACAAGAACAGUCCAGAAAGAGAUUGUAUUGAUGAAGGUAAUUGUACAUAAAACGUAACGUUGACAGUUAACCCCGACGGAAAGCUUCGCCAAGACUGGAAAACACUGCGCGUUCAUUUGAGUGGAAUCGGAGCGCGGAGUGUCAGGAUUUCUAGAACCCCAGGGAUUCGAACCCGCGACACUACUUUGUAAGUCACGAGCUCUCCGACCUGAGCGGAUAAAGGAUAUUUCAGUGGCUAUACAUUAACCACCUUACAAAUAAAAAAUAAACCACGUAUGAACGUGGGUUUAAGUAUUUGACAGCGGGGCUUUUUGGCGGGAACGGGACAGUUGCUUUCUUCAUUGAAUAAUCUAAAUAAUCAAUACGAAGUGGUGUUUUGUGGUUAAUGAUCACAUUAGUCGGAAAACAUUCCCGAUAGUAUUAUUAAAUCGGAAUAUUCAAUAAACAAAGUGUACCUAUCUAUUUUCGCUUUGCGCUAACAAGCCGCUUACUUCGUUUGGGGUUCGGAGUAGGAGUCUGCUCCGAGGGUGGGGGCUUAGGUUUCAUCAUUUCAUUAAUCAUCAUCAAGAAAAAAAAACACAAGACAUGGCUGUAUGUUCAUAGUUCCCUUUGCCUUGCCCUUUGGGAAAAAAAAUAAGAUAAAUUUUGAAAUUCUUAUGUAUAAUAAACAAACAUCACAGACAUCAUGACAGAUCUAAAACUAAAUAAAAUCUUUUUUCUUUUUUCUAUUUGGCUUAUUUAUGAAUUUUAAUCAAGAAAACGUGAUAAUAAGUUCGAC
rnacentral:misc_RNA from 1 species